ensembl:lncRNA novel transcript
AGUUCCAAAGGACAUGAAGACAAAGUCACACACCUUUAUUUAACCUGCUCCAGGCUGGCCACCACAGUCCUGUCUUUUCUGCCAGAAGCAAGUCAAGUGUUGCUACAAGAACAAGUGUGAAAAACAUUUGCCUGAUUACGAUUUCUAGCACCAUGAAAGUUAUCCUUCUUAGAAAUUCCUAAGGCUCAAUGCUGUGUGGAAGAUUCUGAGAAAAAAAAUAGUUUCCGAUCUUUGGGAUUCCCGAGAUGGUCCAAUCUGCAAAAAGUUCAUUGCCAUUUCCAUCAAGGACACUGAGAACAAGAGUCUUAUCUGGAUUAGAUCCUGGGAAUUGAGAAGCUUCAGCAGGUGGGAAAUGCACCCUCCACAGGCUCACACCCUUCUGGGUUGUUUCAGUUACCUAUUGCACCUAAAAUUAGAAACUUUAAACCACCACAAGCCAUUAUUGCUCAUGACCCUGUGAGUUGCAUGGGGACUUCCUGGCUGGUUUAACCUGGGCUCAUUUGUGUGGCUACCUGCAGCUGGAGGGCCAGCUGGGUGGAACAUCCAGGAUGGCCUCAUGCAUGUGCCUGGCAGUUGGU